UACACUACAGGCCAAAAGUUUGGAAGCAAGGCCAUUACAGGCCAAACAGUUGGGAGUCACUUCAAGUUUUUGUUCACAAUGCUUUUUUUAAAAUCCAGCAUGAGUUUUAUGUAUUUUGGGAUGUAUUUACUCCAUGAUCAGAUGUUGCUUUCAUGAAAAUGCACCAUUUUACUCCAUUUACCUUUAGAUAUACAUUGAUGUUAACAGACCAUUGCUAAAUAUAUGUCAGCAAAAGAAAAUAAGGGCUUAGUUUUAGGGUUGAAAACAUUUGCAAGUGUCACAACUUCAGUGCAAAAGCAAAAAAACAAAUCACAGUUGGAUUAUUCACUUGUGAGAGUCUACAUACAAAAAUCCAAAUAUAUCUCAACUGCGUUCAAACUACAACAAAAAUGGCUAGAAAGAAGCAACUGAGUAAAGAAACAAAAGUACAGAUUUGUACAUUGAGGAAAGAAGGAUACACAGAAAGAGAAACUGCAAAACGCCGACAGGUGUUUAACAAAGGAGUCCACUACACUCUAAGGAGACUAGAGGAACCUGGAAGUUAUGAUGAUAGAAAAAGACCUGGACGAAAGAGAGUUACUACAAAAGCAGAGGAUAAACAUAUCAUUGUCACCAGUAAGAGAGAUCGGCGAAAGACGGCACGAAAAAUAAGGGAGCAACAUGACAAGGUCGAAACCCAUAUCUCUGACAACCGUGAAAUGACGUUUGAGAAAGGCUGGUCUGAAGGGUUGUGUAUCUGCAAAAAAACACUACUUCAUCCACAGAACAAGAAAAAGAGAUAUGAGUGAGUCUAUGUGAGUCUAUGUCUGUAGACAAACUGGUGAACGUCUGAAAGCACCAUGUGUUACACCCACAGUUCAACAUGGAGGUGGUAGUUCCAUGGUAUGGGGAUGUUUUGCAGGUGAUAGAGUUGGAGAUUUGUUUGAAGUAAAGGGUAUCAUGAUGAAGGAACAGUACCACUCCAUCCUCCAGCACCAUGCUGUUCCAUCUGGACUCAGACUUGUGGCUCAUAAGUUUGUUUUGCAGCAAGACAAUGACCCUAAGCACACUGCCAAGCUCUGUCAGGGUUACCUAGACAAAUAGAAGAGGGAGGUGUUCUUCAAAAGAUGGUUUGACCCCGUCAGUCUCCAGACCUUUCUCCAAAUGAGCUUGUGCGGGAUGAAUUGGAUCAAUCGGUCAGAUAAACGCAUCCCAAGAAUCAGCAGUCUCUUUUCUAAUGAACUUUAGAAAGCUUGGAAUGCAAUCCCUGGAGCAUACCUUGAAAAAACUUGUGGAACGAAUGCCUGGUAUAUGCCAAGCUGUUGUUAAAGCCAGAGGAGGUUACUUUAAAGAAAGCAAAGUCUAAGCAACAAUAACUCAAAUACCUAAUAAUUAUAGUCGAAAUGUCUGCUGAUUAGUUACUCUUUACACAAUAGUCAUGUUUAUUGUGUUGCAAAUUAUAUAUAUGAAACUAUGAUCUUUUUUUGUACAAAUCUGAUCUUGCUUACAAACUUUUGGCUUGUAGUGUACAUUACAUGAACCAUGUGUUUGUGAGUGUUUGGCUGCUACCUUGGCUAGGUCUCUUUUCCAAGAGAUUUUAAAUGUCAGGGACCUCGUAUUUAAAAAAAGAUGAGAUAAAACAAAAAUAAAAGUCUCUGAUCCAUGCACUGUGUUUAUAGUCUGUGUAUACAGUUGGAAAUCAGAGUGGUGACAGUUUAAUAUUAAAGCACAAAGACUAUAAAAACAUGCAGACAGUUCAUUAUUAGUGCGCACAGUUUCCAAUCCAUUUACACCUGUCAAUUACCCACAUACAAACUUUAUUAUCUUUGCACACAGUUUACAACCCAUUUACAGUUUAUUAUAAGCUGGAACAGUUUAUAAUAGUGCACACAAGUCAUAAUCCCAAGAGCACAUUUUAAAAUCAGUACAUACAGUUUCAGACACAAACACCCAGUUUCUUAAUCCCUUUACAAAUCUGUCAUGUCAGUGCAAAUUUACCCUGUGCAGUCAGCAACUGUGCACUUAGUCUUUUAUUAUAAUUAUUUAUUUAUUUAUGUAUUUAUUUAUUAUAAAUAGACUGUGUGUGCACUGAAAUCACAUGAUAACAGAGUCAGUUAUAAAACAUGGAUGACUGUUAAGUCUUAGAUGGAAAUGUCUCUGAUGGUUUGUCACAGUUUGUGCAGGAUUAUAAUUCCAUUAUUACAAAAGACAAAAAUACACACAAACAUAAAAAUGCCUCCUCAGGGCAGAAACUUAGAGAAUGUGCGUCAGCCAUCAUUUAAUUAAACAUGUGUUAUCCCCAGAAGUAUUUACAUAAUAACACGUACACACACACACAUGCUCAGAAAGAAGGGUUAAACAGCUUUGGGGAAAGGUCAGAUUUAAUUACAUCCAAUACUUCUGCUUCUUCUCACCCUGAAACAAUUACUAGUUAAUGGAGGAAGUCACAGAGAGCUGCUUUCUGAACGACUGCUGAAUAAUAAUAUGUCAGCACACAGACGUGUGUGUGUGUGUAUGUGUAUGUGUGCUUCUGUGUUUGGGAAUCUUAUUAGUUUUCUGUAUUAACUUGUUCAUAAAUGUGUUCGUUUUUGAAUAUUCCUCUGUAGUAAGCAGCCUGCAUCCAUCUUUAUUUCUAUGGUUAUGUGUUUUAGUGUGUUUUAUGUACAUACAGCCUCCUUUAUGGCUUAUUCCUAAUAGCUGAGUCGUUCCAGCAGAGUCGAGCCUCCUUUUAUUCCUCUGUUAAUCACUCUCCAUCGCCCAAUUAAGCCUCAAACUAACACCCUUGUCGUAAUGAGCACGUCAUAAGACUCCUCUCUCUCCCUCCAUCUAUGCUUAUACUUGCUGAGAUGUUUCCCUGUGUAAUUAAGUCCUCGUUCAGAGUAUGACAGCCAGAUGUAUUUCAGCUUUUUUCUUAUACAAUCAGGAAUUCAUGACUGAAUGAAAUGCUUGAGGCAAGGUCGGUCUGGAUCUGAAGUUCAGAGUUUAAGGUUUGUGAUUCUGGAGGAUUCAUUGAAAACACAGACACAGACUGCUGCAGCUGAAUAUACAGUAUACUUUUUGGUGAAGGACAGAGCGAGGAAAAAAAGAACAAACAUCUGCUGAAGGUUGGACACACCGGGCCAAUUAAAACACUCCAUUUGAAAUGUAAAAUUUACUACCUGAAGUUUAAACCCAGCGUAUACAAACAUUCACUAUUUUACAUGUAUUUCAAGGGCCUACUCCUUUGCUUUGCAACACUUCACCCUAGCUCUUCCUUUUUAUGCUGUCUAAUAUUACCAGUGUCAUAUGGUUUGUCAGUGAUGCUUCUCUGUUCUGUGGUGUCUCAGACUUUACUACGGGUCUUUGCUGUUGCUCUCCCUGUCUUGGCUUUUUUCACGAGAGUAAGGGAGCAAUGUGUGCUUGCUCCAUCUCAAGGCAGAGAGCUCUCGGAACAGAGCUUGUUUUUUUUUUUUUUUUUGCUGCUGCUCUUCUUGCCCUAGCUUUUCAUGUUUGUGAAUUAAACAGAUGGGAGCUGUGCUCUUUCCAGGUUUCAUGCUUUACAAUUACAAUGUUAAAAAGCAACUAAGGUACUGAAAAUACAAGUGGGGGACACUAAGCAGGUUUUUACAGUGGAGGGACAAUUUUAGACCUCUUCCAGUGGCUCUCAAGAAGUUUGUCUUUUAUAAAAAAUAAAAAAAUAAAAACCACACUUGCUAAAUAUUACUUGAUUAUUAAACCAGGAUUUAAUAAUUCUGCAAUAAAUUUAAAUUCUGUUUAUUUAAGACUGACUGUGAACUGUAUUGCCACAUCUUUGCGGCCAUUGAUGCCGUCUUCCUCAUGUAACACCAUGAUCUUCAACCACUUGUAACCUGCAUCACCUCCACCUUCAAUUAUUCCUAAGCCCUAUGAUAUUUGACCUGCUGUCAAAUUCCCUCCCAUAUCAAAAGGAGUUGAGAAGAGAGGAAGGCCUAUUCUCUACCAAGCGGGCAGUAUGGUGAGCAAUAGUUUCAACCACCUUUGCUGCACCCUCUCCAAAUGUCCCCUCCUACACGUCUGCUCCUUCUGCAGAGCGACCUGCCCACACAACCCCACCACACCCGCCAGCUGACUACUACAGCAACUCAGCUCACCUGUUAAGGUAAAUGCUCUUGCCGAAGCUCUCGAGAAACACCCAGACAGUUUGUUAAUUUUAUUAUUAACAGUUUUACUCAUGGUUUUCACCCUGGCAUAGACAUGCUCUUUGACAUUUCACACACCGGCCACAACCUUUAGUCCGCUCUCAAAUAACCCAACACUGUUGAUCCUCUACUAGCAAAAUAGGUUAAAGAGGUAGUCAUUGUUGGUCCAUUCAACAAACCACCCUUUCUCACCCUUUCCUCAGAUGUUGUGAAUUUGUUCUGACCUCAUAAACACCAUGAACACCUGCAUCAGGUUCUUCACAUAUCAGGCAUAACUUGGGACCACUACUCAGCCCACUCAUUCUGCAUCAGCGCAGCAUCCACAGCAGUCAGACUAUAUCAGAUCGAACCAUUCAGAUUCUUGGGCGAUGGUCAUCUCAGGCAUAUUACUCCU
rnacentral:lncRNA from 1 species